rnacentral:lncRNA from 1 species
CUGACAUACAGCUGCUAAAAAUUUUUUCCCAUAUUGUAGGUUGUCUGUUAGCUCUGUUGGUGGUUUCUUUUGCAGUGCAGAACCUUUUUAAUAAGAUGAGAUCCCACUUGUUGAUUCUUUCUGCUAGUUCCCGUGAUGCUGAGGUUUUGUUCAUGAAGUCUUUUCCUAUGCCAAUGUCUUCAAGAGUUCUACCAGCGGACGCUGUAGCAACGUUGCGAGUCGCAUGGAUCGCGCCGAAUCAGCCCACUGCAGACAGGCAGGUCUGUGAACGCAGUAGCAACGUCGCGAGUCGCGCGGAACAAGCCGAAUCAGCCCAAGCCCUGGCAGCAAUCUACUGGACACCCCCCACCACCACCACCACCGUACAGCCACCUGGUUCCACACUACAAAGACGCAAAGGGCACCGGACCACCAGACCACUGUACUGGAGCCCACAGGGAAAAGCAGUGUGCCUGACCAAGAGACUGGAGUACCAGAGGGGAGGAUUGGAUAGAGAUGCAAGGACAGAAAAUCAGCCCUUUGUGAAGCAAGUCUCCAUCCUGCCUCUGCUGUGUUAGACUCCAACCUAAGCCAAGAAGCAAUUGUGCAGAAAUGCAAGGGCUUGUAGUUAGCUGGAGAUUACCAAAAAUAGAAGAUUCAAGAAUGCUAAUGUGCAAGGAGCAGUGAUGAAGUCCAAAAUGUUUUAAAAGAGGGUCAUUAUCAUAGUCAGCAUUAAGAAAGAACACAACCACUUUGGUAUCAGCUGCAGCAGGAACAUUAACAAGCAGCUCUGACUUUGGGAGACUUCCCAUCCAACCCAUUGUGUUACCUAAAGGCCAUCAUCACUCUUCCUUGCUCAGAACUGCACCAUCACUUACUCAUUCUUACUCUCAGCCUUAAGGAGGGAGCUAAAGUCCAGGACAGGCUAACAGCUCUGUUUGGAGAAGACAUAGUCAGAGCCCUCUGAAAUACAGCUUUCUUUGAAGUAGUUUGCCAGGCUUCUGUGGUCCCACCUCAGCACCAUCCUCAGACCCUAGGCUUAUUUUAGGCAGCAUAAUCCCUCUACUUUGGACCAGUGGGCUCUGAACAAAACUCAGAAGUUGAUUUCAGUGCCAGUCUUGCUGCUCAGCCUGUUUCCCUUUUAUGGCUCUCACUUAUACAAUGACUAUGUGGAUGCUAGCCUCUUAGUACUUUACAGUUGUAAAGUGAUUUGCACAUUGUGUGUUCUAUAAUGUUGGUAAGGUACCAGGAUUAGUAUUCAGUGCCUUCAGGCUACUGCCUAGCUGCUUGAUUUACAGCCAGUGCUUCUCACCAGCUCUCACUUUCUAUUUAAAAUAUAUAUCUUAUGUCCCUUUCCUUCAGGAUCUUACUCAUAUCUUUCUAGCUAUUUAUGAUGUAUACUCUCCUCAUUAUAUGGUGCCUACAAGUGGAUUAUACAAGCAAAAAGCAGAUUAGAUUAUAACUAAUUUCCCUUUUUUGAGAAGUAUGUCUUUGAGAUUGAUUAGUCUAUAUCAUGAUCACAUUGCUUCCCUGAGUAAACAGCAUGGAUUUAAAAAUACUUAUAAAAUUCAGAUGCAUUGACUGUGGUACUUGUCAUGGACCUUCAGGAUACUGAAUCUUAAAUAUCAAUAUGAACUUCUUAUACAGGGAAUCUCUGCCUAAUGAAAACUAAGAAUGCUACUCAUCCCAAUGUGCUUAAGACACAGAAAAUAGGUUGAAGUAGAUUUGCCACUAACUAAAUUCAACGUUGCAUAACUCUAGGUGCUUUCUAAUGCUAGGCCUGAAAUUGCAGCCUGCAACUAGGAUGUGGUACAUAGCGAUGCUACUUCCAAGAAAUAUCAGGUUUAAGAAAUAAGCAGCAAAUGUAAGCCGAGAAGAGAAUAAGGAUGAGUGAAGGAACAGCAUGUAAUGCUCUGUGUCUCCUGUAUCUUUAAUGCUAGAAAGGAUAUGAUCUUCAUUUCCUUAUACUUGUCAACAAAUGUAGUUUCUAAGAGCCUUACAAAUGUUGGGCUCUGUUCUAAGCACUGAGGAUACAGAAAAAAAUUAAAUAAAAAUCCCUCACCUCCUUGAUAAAAGUCUAAGUGGGGGAUGUAGAAAAUAAACACAACCAAUGAUGGAAGUACUACAGAAAUAAUAAAGCAGUGGUGGAGGUAUUGGGGUCAUUGCCAUGUUAAGUAAGGUUGUCAGGUAAGCCUCGCUGGGAAGGUGACAGUUAAGGGAAUCCCUGGGGAGCUGAGAGAGUGAGUUGUGAAAGCAUUUGACAUGAAGUGUUCCAGGCAGGAAAAAGUGCUGCAGUGGUGAGACAGGAGCUUAACUAUGUGAGGAUCAGCCAGAACAGGCACAGUGAACAAGGGAUUUCCUCAUGGUAGACAAAGAAAAACAAUGAAGAAGCAGUAUAUGCAGAGUCUUGAAAACUUCUGAAGGUGCUUAGUUUCUACCCAUUACAGUGGAAAACACUGUAGGGUUUUAAGUGGAUGAGUAAUAUGAUGUGACUUACAUUUUAACAGAAUCACUCUGGUUUCCAUUGACUGAAGGGGCCUGGGACAGAGUGUCUGCAGAAAUUUGUUAUAGCCCUCCCAGCUAAGAUAACAAUAUACCACAUUUAUUCACUGAUAUCUCACAAAGCCCUAUGAGAAAUUAGCUGAAGGAAAUGCACCAUCAAAUAGAGCUGGCACUGUAGCACUAUAAUGGGCCUAUAGAAAAUAAAAGAAAUAAGUCUCAUACUUCUCUGGAUAGAUACAGAUUGAAUUUACAGUUGUUGCACAUGGAUUCGCUGGGUUUAUCUAUACCUUGGGACCCCUCAGAAAGACUGCUCUUGAAUUUAAUUUCAUUUUUACUUAAUGGGUUUUCAGACACAAAGGUAAGAUUUUUCAAAGACAGAAUGGUGGAAAUGCCAUAUAAAAAUGAGUUCUUCCUGAAUACUUACCUGAUUUGGUGACAGAAACAGAAAAUGGAAAUGUAUGUUAACAAAAAUAUCAGAUUCACAAGUCAUGUCAUUUAAAACUCUGAGAAAAUAAUGAGUUUUACUACAUUUUCUGCAUCUUCCAAGGAGUGGUGGCCACAACUCAGUAAUCAUUUUGAUGCUCACAACCUAUAAACAGGGCAUUGUUCAUAGUAUAAUUAUGUCUGGGGCCCAGUUUGGUGUUCACAGCUGCAUUCCCUCAGUUCCAAAUGUUACUAAUUUAUCUUCAGGUUUUGUCCUUACUUCCAUUUAAUUACUAUAGGAGAAUUAAUAAAGCAGGAGAUAAGCAGAGUUUGCUUCUGAGUUAAAGCAACUUCAUGGUCUUUUCAAAAGACUUUUCCCCUACACUAUAUUUCUAUUUCACUCUUUUGCUGAUGAUAAAAAUGAUACUUUCAAGGAAAUAUCUAUCUUUUUGUAGGCCUUAUGGUAGUCAUGAUGGAACUAGAAAUGAAAAUGACCUUAAAACCUUGCAUCAUAUUAUGUUUUUAUUUCAACUAUUAUAGUAGUUGAAUAUCAUAAGGGGAUAGAGGAAAGAGGAUAGAGGAAAAGGAGAUGAAAGUUGUUAAAGUAAUGUGAAUUUGGCAUAGAGUUUCCCAUGUAAACAUCUUUUGAAUUUCUUCUAACCUCUGAAAUGAAUUAUUUAAAACAAAUAACUCUGUUAUAACAAAUUUUUGUUUGUUCAAGCCACAUAGAAAGGAUUUAUUUUAAAACUGAGGCCUAAAUUGGGGGCCAUAGAUAAACCUUUGUUCAGUGUUACUCAGAAAACUGCUGAUGUCACCUCCUUGAAUUCAUGUGACCAACUGUAUAUAUAUCUUAUAUAAUCAGUAUGUUUUAAAGAAGCUCAUCUUUAUUCGGACGCACAGAAACACAGUCACUUCUGAUCAGUUGCCUUGAGGCAGAAGUGAGAUAUUGAUGGACCUCCUUUUAAUGGAAGGAUAACAAAGUAAAAUAACAUUACUUUGGGAGUAGUUGAAAGAAAACAAUCAUUGUCUUUCAAUUAUUAAAUAUUUCAGGACCUAUUAUGAAAUUUAGAAAUAAAUGAAUAUGACAUGAGUCUUGCCUUGAAAAGCUGUUAUUUGAAUUGGGUCUUGGAGGGCAGGUAGGAGCUUGCCAGAAAGGAAGGAAGAGGGAGCAUUCCAGAUGGAGAAAUAUCAUUUUCAAUGGCACAGAAAUGUGAAAUUCCUCAGAAAGUUCCAGGACUCAGGAAAGCUUCUGAGUAAUUGGAGCACAUUACUCAUAUAGAAAAAGUAGAAGUUAAAUCUAAGAUGAUGAAUGAAGAGGUAGC